AGUGAACGCUGGCGGUAGGCCUAACACAUGCAAGUCGAACGGCAGCACAGUAAGAGCUUGCUCUUACGGGUGGCGAGUGGCGGACGGGUGAGGAGUACAUCGGAAUCUACUUUUUCGUGGGGGAUAACGUAGGGAAACUUACGCUAAUACCGCAUACGACCUACGGGUGAAAGCAGGGGAUCUUCGGACCAUGCGCGAUUGAAUGAGCCGAUGUCGGAUUAGCUAGUUGGCGGGGUAAAGGCCCACCAAGGCGACGAUCCGUAGCUGGUCUGAGAGGAUGAUCAGCCACACUGGAACUGAGACACGGUCCAGACUCCUACGGGAGGCAGCAGUGGGGAAUAUUGGACAAUGGGCGCAAGCCUGAUCCAGCCAUACCGCGUGGGUGAAGAAGGCCUUCGGGUUGUAAAGCCCUUUUGUUGGGAAAGAAAAGCAGCAGGUUAAUACCCCGCUGUUCUGACGGUACCCAAAGAAUAAGCACCGGCUAACUUCGUG
rnacentral:rRNA from 1 species